UCUGGUGAUGAUGGCGGAGGGGAUCCACCCGUUCCCAUACCGAACACGGAAGUUAAGCCCUCCAGCGCCGAUGGUACUUGGGCUUAA
rfam:Thermoactinomyces vulgaris strain NRRL F-5595 F5595contig1023.1, whole genome shotgun sequence.